rnacentral:rRNA from 1 species
UACGUAGGUGGCGAGCGUUGUCCGGAUUUAUUGGGCGUAAAGCGCGCGCAGGCGGCGCCGCAAGUCCGGUGUGAAAGCGCCCGGCUCAACUGGGCGAGGUCAUUGGAGACUGCGGUGCUGGAGGGUGGCAGAGGCCGGUGGAAUUCCCGGUGUAGUGGUGAAAUGCGUAGAGAUCGAGAGGAACACCAGUGGCGAAGGCGGCCUGCUGGGCUGACCCUGACACUGAGGCGCGAAGGCGUGGGGAGCGAACGGG